UGUUUCGGCUAGGGGGCCAUCCCGGCUUACCAACCCGAUGCAAACUGCGAAUACCGGAGAAUGUUAUCACGGGAGACACACGGCGGGUGCUAACGUCCGUCGUGAAGAGGGAAACAACCCAGACCGCCAGCUAAGGUCCCAAAGUCAUGGUUAAGUGGGAAACGAUGUGGGAAGGCCCAGACAGCCAGGAUGUUGGCUUAGAAGCAGCCAUCAUUUAAAGAAAGCGUAAUAGCUCACUGGUCGAGUCGGCCUGCGCGGAAGAUGUAACGGGGCUAAACCAUGCACCGAAGCUGCGGCAGCGAACGUAUCACUUAAAGCGAUUCAGCGGGUUACGAUUGACGGAGCGAAGCGACGUCAAAGCGUAUACAAAGUCGAGUCGGUUUAAGGAUACGUUCGUUGGGUAGGGGAGCGUUCUGUAAGCCUGUGAAGGUGUGUCGUGAGGCAUGCUGGAGGUAUCAGAAGUGCGAAUGCUGACAU
rnacentral:rRNA from 1 species